GAGCAUUCUUUUAAACCCCCUAUAGUUUGAUAGCUGCUAGGACAAGAAGGAAUGCAAGAGCAACAUGCACCUGGAUGUAUCCAAAGUGAAGAGUCUCUAACAGUGCCUCUUUGCUAUUUCAAGUCUGUGACAUUACU